AUCUGGAGAGACCUCGCACAGAGCAAAAUAUUAGACAUGAAAGGAUAGCAUUUUGUUUAAGAUAAGCUAGGUGUUGCUGAUGGACUCCCUGGAGCUUCACAAAGCAUUGGCCAUGCAAACGGCCAGAUUCCUGGUUUGGUGGGUUGAGGCACAGAGUAAUAAAUUGCAUAAUGGUUUGCUGCUUAACUCUGCACAAAAGAGGUUUGCGACCGGCUCACAGACUUACAGCAGAUCAAGAUGA
rnacentral:lncRNA from 1 species